AGGCUCAGAGGCAGCAACUGCCUUGCUCCACGUUGCUCUUGCAGCAGAGACCAUGUGGUGGAAAGCGCUGGGUGUUGGCUUGCAGCUGUUGGCAGGUUUCUGCAGUGGAGUCACCGUGACGCAGAAGGAACAGUUCAAAUUUGCCUGGAAGGGGGUCAAAACAAGCAUUGAAUGUUCCCACGAUGACAGCACCUACUCAACUAUCCUUUGGUAUCGGCAGCAGAGCAACCGUUCAGACAAGCGGCUGGAGCUCAUUGGCUACUCUGUACAUGGAACUGUGUCUAUGGAGUCGAAUAUGGAGAAAUACAGUAUAGAAUCGACAAAUGUGACACAUGCUUCCCUGUCCAUCACUCCGGAACAAACGACAGAUUCAGCCGUGUAUUUUUGCGCAGCCAGUAAAGGCACAGCAAGAACUUUCUGCCUCACAGCUGCACAUAAACAUUGCAGCUCUGCCAACACUCCCCUUCCUGCCCUCUAUACCACACACACACACACACACCAGUCACUUACAGAGUCCUCUUUCAUAAGACAAUGA